rnacentral:lncRNA from 1 species
CCAGUUCUGCUGAAUCUCAUCCUCUGGGAACAGCACUGCAGAAUCUGCAUUUCUGACAAGGCUUCCAGAUGACUCCAGGUCAGCCGACUCAGCCUGAACCCCCGUACCUCAGGCAGGUAUGGGACUGGGGCAGCAGAGGAACUUUUUGGGCCAUGCUGCUACAGGUCUGUCUUGGAGGCCCUUUGAAGGCAAGGACUAUGUCCUAUUCCACCUUGAAUUCUCAUCACCAAGCGGAACGCCUGACACCUAAUCUAGUCAGUGCUUACUAAGUGCUCAUUAUCAAUGCAAGAAUAACAGAGCUAUGGAACCUGGCAGCCACCUCUUUUCUUUGGGCCUCAGUCUUCUCAUGCAGAACUUGGGAUUGGACUAAAUUGGAUCUCCUAGGCUGCCUCUGACUCUAACAAUUCUCUGAUUUAAAUUAUUCUUCAUCUGGAUGUAAUCCACCUUGCUUUUCCAUCCCAG